rnacentral:tRNA from 1 species
UCCCUGCUAGCUCAACUGGUUGAGAAUCUGCCUUCAGUGCAGGAGACCCCGGUUCAAUUCCUGGGUCAGGAG